GUUGGUUCCAGAAUAAAGAACGCCCUGGAGAAUCCAUCUGACUCUCGCCUGUCCUUUCUGCGCCGCCUGAGGAAGAAGAAGAUCUGCCCGGCUGAGCAGUUCCACCUGCUCCCCCUCAGAGGGCACUGCUGGCCUCCGAGCUCGGGUGCCCCGGUAACCGUGCUUCACAAGUGAGCUGAAUCACUGGGGAGUGCCUGUGCCUCUGAGGCAAGGAGCGUCCUUUGAAGGACAACUCGCCGCAGAAGGACGCGGCACCUCGAAGACCUGCAGCAGCUGACCAGAGGGGGUCAGUGGCCUUCGGAGGACACCGCCAGGCCGCAUCACUGGUUAUGUAAAACCAAAAUGCCAUGGGGCUGUCACCCUGAGCACAAAGCUGAGGCUGGGCCUGGAGCCUUUGCACUCGAGUUUCACAAGGGCUUUUGGUGGCUUCCAGAUCAGAAGGGGCACAUAAGGACAAACUGAUUUUAUUGGGAACUUGCUAUCAGCCAGAGGAAGCAAGCUUCACAGAGGAAAUUGGAGACCUUGCAGCAGAUGGUGAAACUAACAACCCUGAAAAAGCAUGGGCCUCCAUUCAGAAAAGAGACAAUAGGCUUAUGGGAAACGGACAGCACCG